rnacentral:rRNA from 2 species
CUCAGGACGAACGCUGGCGGCGUGCCUAAUACAUGCAAGUCGUACGCUUCUUUUUCCACCGGAGCUUGCUCCACCGGAAAAAGAAGAGUGGCGAACGGGUGAGUAACACGUGGGUAACCUGCCCAUCAGAAGGGGAUAACACUUGGAAACAGGUGCUAAUACCGUAUAACAAUCGAAACCGCAUGGUUUUGAUUUGAAAGGCGCUUUCGGGUGUCGCUGAUGGAUGGACCCGCGGUGCAUUAGCUAGUUGGUGAGGUAACGGCUCACCAAGGCCACGAUGCAUAGCCGACCUGAGAGGGUGAUCGGCCACAUUGGGACUGAGACACGGCCCAAACUCCUACGGGAGGCAGCAGUAGGGAAUCUUCGGCAAUGGACGAAAGUCUGACCGAGCAACGCCGCGUGAGUGAAGAAGGUUUUCGGAUCGUAAAACUCUGUUGUUAGAGAAGAACAAGGAUGAGAGUAACUGUUCAUCCCUUGACGGUAUCUAACCAGAAAGCCACGGCUAACUACGUGCCAGCAGCCGCGGUAAUACGUAGGUGGCAAGCGUUGUCCGGAUUUAUUGGGCGUAAAGCGAGCGCAGGCGGUUUCUUAAGUCUGAUGUGAAAGCCCCCGGCUCAACCGGGGAGGGUCAUUGGAAACUGGGAGACUUGAGUGCAGAAGAGGAGAGUGGAAUUCCAUGUGUAGCGGUGAAAUGCGUAGAUAUAUGGAGGAACACCAGUGGCGAAGGCGGCUCUCUGGUCUGUAACUGACGCUGA